GAUGAAGAACGUAGCGAAAUGCGAUAAGUAAUGCGAAUUGCAGAUCUCCGUGAGUCAUUGAAUCUUUGAACGCACAUUGCGCCCUCGGGUAUUCCCGAGGGCAUGCCUGUCCGAGCGUCAUUAUCCAACCAUCAAGCUCGGCUUGCGGUUGAGCCCCGCACCGUCCCCGGGACGGUGGGCUCGAAACAUGUUGGGCGCCCGUGAGGUUGUCGGUGCAGCGAGCUCUCGAGCACGUGCCGGGCAACCGCUCUGGGCGUCGGCCAGCCCCCCCAUUUUCUCAGGUUGACCUCGGAUCAGGUAGGAAUACCCGCUGAACUUAAGCAUAUCAUAAGCGGAGGA
rnacentral:misc_RNA from 1 species